UACGUAGGGGGCUAGCGUUGUCCGGAUUUAUUGGGCGUAAAGAGCGUGUAGGCGGCCAGGUAGGUCUGGUGUGAAAACUCGAGGCUUAACCUCGAGAUGUCAUCGGAAACCAUCUGGCUAGAGUCCGGAAGAGGAGAGUGGAAUUCCAGGUGUAGCGGUGAAAUGCGUAGAUAUCUGGAAGAACACCGGUGGCGUAAGCGGCUUGCUGGGCUUUAACUGACGCUGAGGAACGAAAGCUAGGGUAACGAAUGGG
rnacentral:rRNA from 1 species